GGGAGUGAAAUAGAACCUGAAACCCUGCACUUACAAGCUGUGGAAGCACAUUUCUUGUGUGACCGCGUACUUUUUGUAGAACGGGCCAACGAGUUACGUUAAGUAGCAAGGUUAAGCACUUAAGGUGUGGAGCCGUAGCGAAAGCGAGUUUUAACUGAGCGUUCAGUUACUUGACGUAGACCCGAAACCGGGCGACCUACCCAUGAGCAGGAUGAAGCGAAAGUAAAAUUUCGUGGAGGUCCGAACCCACGAGCGUUGAAAAGCUCGGGGAUGACUUGUGGGUAGCGGUGAAAUUCCAAUCGAGCCCGGAGAUAGCUGGUUCUCCCCGAAAUAGCUUUAGGGCUAGCCUCAAGGUGAGAGAUACGGAGGUAGAGCACUGAAUGUCCUAGGGGGUAUUGCACCUACCGAAGACUAUCAAACUCCGAAUGCCGUCAUCUUAUACUUGGGAGUCAGACUGUGGGUGAUAAGAUUCAUAGUCGAAAGGGCAACAGCCCAGAUCGUCAGCUAAGGUCCCUAAAUGUAAGUUAAGUGGUAAAGGAUGUGGGAUUGCACAGACAACCAGGAUGUUGGCUUAGAAGCAGCCACUCAUUCAAAGAGUGCGUAAUAGCUCACUGGUCGAGUGAUCCUGCGCCGAAGAUUUCCGGGGCUAAAACUUACUACCGAAGCUACGGCAUCAGUAAUGAUGGGUAGGGGAGCUUCCCAUACGGGUUGAAGCAUGACCG
rnacentral:rRNA from 1 species